GGGGCCAUGGCUCAAUGGCAGAACAUCUGCGUUGCAUGGAGUAGGUCCCAGGUUCUAUUCCUGGCAUCUCCA
rnacentral:tRNA from 1 species